rnacentral:rRNA from 1 species
CCUACGGGUGGCAGCAGUCGAGAAUCAUUCACAAUGGGGGUAACCCUGAUGGUGCGACGCCGCGUGGGGGAAUGAAGGUCUUCGGAUUGUAAACCCCUGUCAUGUGGGAGCAAAUUAAAAAGAUAGUACCACAAGAGGAAGAGACGGCUAACUAUGUGUCAGCAACCUCGGUAAUACAGAGGUCUCAAGCGUUGUUCGGAAUCACUGGGCGUAAAGGGUGCGGAGGCUGUUUCGGCAGCCGUGUGGGAAAGGCGCGGGCUCAAACCGCGGGCGGCACAUGAAACUGCGAUACUAGAGCAAGGGAGGGGGAUGCGGAAUUCUCGGGGUAGCGGUGAAAUGCGUAGAUAUCGAGAGGAACACUCGUGGCGAAGGCGGGUUCCUGGACAUUAACUGACGCUGAGGCACGAAGGCCAGGGGAGCGAAAGGGAUUAGAUACCCUGGUAGUC